rfam:Picea glauca, whole genome shotgun sequence.
AUAAUGGUGUCUUUAGACACCAUCUUCUGUCUUCGAAAUGUUAUUU